AUGUCUCCUGGUGUGAGGUGGGGUGGUGCCUGGUCCCCGCUGGCGCAGGGGCACCCUAGGGGAAUGGCGCCUGUCCUGCUGGAUGCAGCCCUGGGGGGAUGGGUGCCCCGGGAUGGCAGUCCUGUACCUUGGUCUCUGCCAGGAUGGUGCCCUGGGGGAUGGUGCCCACACUGGUCCCUGCCGGGAUGGUGCCCUGGGGGAUGGUGCCCACACUGGUCCCUGCCGGGAUGGUGCCCUUGGGGAUGCCCACACUGGGUUCCUGCCGGGAUGGGUGCCCUGGGGAUGGUGCCUACACCUGGUUCCUGCUGGCCGAAGCCCUGGGGAUGGUGCCCACACUGCUUCCCUGCCGGGAUGGUGCCCUGGGAUGGUGCCCACACUGCUUCCUGCCGGGAUGGUGCCCUGGGGAUGGUGCCCACACUGCUUCCUGCCGGGAUGGUGCCCUGGGGGAUGGUGCCCACACUGCUUCCUGCUGGGAUGGUGCCCCUGGGGGAGGCUGGGGGUUCUUGGCGAGAGUGGGCAGAGCUGCCUGUAAACAAACGUGUUUCCUCCUGUUGGCGUCUGUAAUGCGCCUUGGUGGUAGGGUCGGGGUGCCAAAGUGACCUGGGGCUGCCAAGGCCAAAGGGCUACAAGGGAACAUCUUAAAAUAAUAGAUACUUAUUUCUCUA
rnacentral:lncRNA from 1 species